rnacentral:rRNA from 1 species
ACACGCGGAGGAGCAUGUGGUUUAAUUCGAUGAUACGCGAGGAACCUUACCUGGGCUCGAACGUAAGAUGACUGUAGGUGAAAAGCUUACAUCUCUUCGGAGCAUUUUACGAGGUGCUGCAUGGUUGUCGUCAGCUCGUGCCGUGAGGUGUCGGGUUAAGUCCCGCAACGAGCGCAACCCCUGCUGCCAGUUGCCAACGGGUGAAGCCGGGCACUCUGGCGGGACUGCCAUCGACAAGAUGGAGGAAGGUGGGGAUGACGUCAAGUCAUCAUGGCCCUUAUGUCCAGGGCGACACACGUGCUACAAUGGCCGGCACAGCGGGAAGCGAGGCAGUGAUGCCGAGCGGAUCCCUUAAAGCCGGUCUCAGUUCGGAUUGAAGUCUGCAACUCGACUUCAUGAAGCUGGGAUCGCUAGUAAUCGCAGAUCAGCCAAGCUGCGGUGAAUACGUUCCCGGGCCUU